rnacentral:rRNA from 1 species
AGUGAACGCUGGCGGUAGGCCUAACACAUGCAAGUCGAACGGCGGCACAGUAAGAGCUUGCUCUUACGGGUGGCGAGUGGCGGACGGGUGAGGAAUACAUCGGAAUCUACUUUUUCGUGGGGGAUAACGUAGGGAAACUUACGCUAAUACCGCAUACGACCUACGGGUGAAAGCAGGGGAUCUUCGGACCUUGCGCGAUUGAAUGAGCCGAUGUCGGAUUAGCUAGUUGGCGGGGUAAAGGCCCACCAAGGCGACGAUCCGUAGCUGGUCUGAGAGGAUGAUCAGCCACACUGGAACUGAGACACGGUCCAGACUCCUACGGGAGGCAGCAGUGGGGAAUAUUGGACAAUGGGCGCAAGCCUGAUCCAGCCAUACCGCGUGGGUGAAGAAGGCCUUCGGGUUGUAAAGCCCUUUUGUUCGGAAAGAAAAGCAGCAGGUUAAUACCCCGCUGUUCUGACGGUACCCAAAGAAUAAGCACCGGCUAACUUCGUG